AAUAUACUCCCUCCGAUCCUAAAUUGUUGUCGAAAUAUUACAUGUAUCUAGACAUUUUUUAAGAAUAGAUACAUCCAUAUUUGGGCAAUUUUGAGAAAAGAAUUGAGGAUCGGAGGGAGUAUAAG
rnacentral:pre_miRNA from 1 species